rnacentral:rRNA from 1 species
GUGUCAGCAGCCGCGGUAAUACGAAGGGGGCUAGCGUUGUUCGGAAUUACUGGGCGUAAAGGGCGCGUAGGCGGCUUCGAUAGUCGGGCGUGAAAUGCCUGGGCUCAACCCAGGAACUGCGCUCGAAACUCCGAGGCUAGAGUGUGGGAGAGGAUAGUGGAAUUCCCAGUGUAGAGGUGAAAUUCGUAGAUAUUGGGAAGAACACCGGUGGCGAAGGCGGCUAUCUGGACCACAACUGACGCUGAGGCGCGAAAGCGUGGGGAGCAAACAGGAUUAGAUACCCUCGUAGUCC